rnacentral:piRNA from 1 species
UAGCAUUUGAAUUCAUAGCAGCCCAGAC